UACAGAGGUCUCAAGCGUUGUUCGGAUUCAUUGGGCGUAAAGGGUGCGUAGGUGGCGCCGUAAGUCGGGUGUGAAAUUUCGGAGCUUAACUCCGAAACUGCAUUCGAUACUGCGGUGCUUGAGGACUGGAGAGGAGACUGGAAUUCAUGGUGUAGCAGUGAAAUGCGUAGAGAUCAUGAGGAAGACCAGUGGCGAAGGCGGGUCUCUGGGCCGAUAUUGACGCUGAGGAGCGAAAGCGUGGGGAGCAAACAGG
rnacentral:rRNA from 1 species